AGUGCAGUUGAGAACUCAUCACGAUGUUUUGCCUCUCCAUCCAACUUGUGACUGCGUUCUUUCUAACAGUCCCUGCUGUGUGUAAGGUGGUCCAGCAGUCUCCAGAUGCGGUCUUGUGUAAUCCUGACAGUAGUAUUGAGCUCACAUGCAGCCACAACAUCAAUAACUAUGACACAAUAUUAUGGUAUCAGCGCUCUCCUGGGGACACAGAACUGAAACUUUUAGCUUAUGUGUACUAUAAAAAACCAAACAUCGAGGGUCCAUAUGUAGACCACUUUAAGGUGUCAGGUGAUGGUGAAAAUGCUACUUCACUUCAUAUAACAUGCAGCAGACAAGCCAAAAUCACAGCGAUGUAUUACUGUGCUGCCAGUAUCACACAGUGCUGUGAGAGUUCAUCCCUCUUUACAAUUACCUUCCUCUUAUUAAACACCUGCACAGACCAGCACUGGCUCACACUGACUUGCAUAGGAUUGUGUUUAUUAGUGUACAGAUUAGUAAGAGCAAGCAAUUCUAAAUGAAAAGAUAAACAACGGUCAUUAGUAUGUCUAGCAUGUUUUGUCACAGAUGCCUUGUCUAGAGACUGAAAUGGGAUUCUUGGUUCCACUUUAUUUUAUUAUCUCUCUAUUAUCUAACUAUAACUUUUGUCUCAAUAUACUCCUGUUUUGUAGCAUAUUAAAAGUUAAAAAGGAAUUGGUAAUAACAAACAGCCAAUAUGUUGGUAUAUGUUAGCAAACAAAAAACACUUUUGAAUAGGGAACACUUAAUUACUGUUAACUGUAUGACGUUUUCCUCGACUUAUUAAAAAUUAGUAAUGCAUGCUAAUAAGAACCUUAAAUUGAAUUAACCAACAUGCAAAAAAAAAAAAAAAACCUCAAAAGUUUUUUCAUAGCGAUGCCAUAAAAGAAUAAGUUCUCACUCACAAUUACAACAUUGUAUCAUUUUUAAUUUGAUAAUUAGUGUCAUUUAAGUUAAAGUAAUACAUUUGCUGAUACAAUUACAUCAAAUUAUUGAAUCAAAUUAAAUAUCACAAUUAAUAUCAAAUAAAUCAUCAGCCUGUAUCAAGAAUCAUUUCACCUGCAUCAGAAUUCUAAUAAUAGAUUAAAAUGACUGUCAUUACAUUAUUAUGUAUUUUAUUGUAUUAUAUUAUAUACAUUUACUUUAUUCUUAGAAAAUUCUAA